UCGGACUAAUACCGCAUGAAGCAGGGGCCCCGCAUGGGGAUAUUUGCUAAAGAUUCAUCNCUGAUAGAUAGGCAUGCGUUCCAUUAGGCAGUUGGCGGGGUAACGGCCCACCAAACCGACGAUGGAUAGGGGUUCUGAGAGGAAGGUCCCCCACAUUGGUACUGAGACACGGACCAAACUCCUACGGGAGGCAGCAUG
rnacentral:rRNA from 1 species